GAUGAACGCUGGCGGCGUGCCUAAUACAUGCAAGCCGAGCGAACAGACGAGGAGCUUGCUCCUCUGAUGUUAGCGGCGGACGGGUGAGUAACACGUGGAUAACCUACCUAUAAGACUGGGAUAACUUCGGGAAACCGGAGCUAAUACCGGAUAAUAUAUUGAACCGCAUGGUUCAAUAGUGAAAGACGGUCUUGCUGUCACUUAUAGAUGGAUCCGCGCCGCAUUAGCUAGUUGGUAAGGUAACGGCUUACCAAGGCGACGAUGCGUAGCCGACCUGAGAGGGUGAUCGGCCACACUGGAACUGAGACACGGUCCAGACUCCUACGGGAGGCAGCAGUAGGGAAUCUUCCGCAAUGGGCGAAAGCCUGACGGAGCAACGCCGCGUGAGUGAUGAAGGUCUUCGGAUCGUAAAACUCUGUUAUUAGGGAAGAACAAAUGUGUAAGUAACUAUGCACGUCUUGACGGUACCUAAUCAGAAAGCCACGGCUAACUACGUG
rnacentral:rRNA from 1 species